rnacentral:rRNA from 1 species
GAGUGAACGCGGGCGGCGUGCUUAACACAUGCAAGUCGAGCGAAUCUCAGCAGCACAUCGCUGAGGUUAGCGGCAGACGGGUGAGUAAUACUUGGGCAAUCUGCCCUUCAGAGGGAAACAACCUGCCGAAAGGCGGGCUAAUGUCCCGUAAGACCACAGGGGUGCAUACUCCAGGGGUCAAAGCUCCGCAAGGGGUGCUGAAGGAGGAGCCCGAGGCCUAUCAUGGUAGUUGGUGGGGUAACGGCCCACCAAGCCUUUGACGGGUAGCCGGCCUGAAAGGGUGACCGGCCACACUGGCACUGAGACACGGGCCAGACUCCUACGGGAGGCAGCAGUGGGGAAUUUUGGACAAUGGGGGCAACCCUGAUCCAGCGACGCCGCGUGGAGGACGAAGGUCUUCGGAUUGUAAACUCCUUUUGCGGGGGAAGAAUGCUCUGGUGAAUAGCCAGGGGUGACGGUACUCCGCGAAUAAGCCACGGCUAACUACGUGCCAGCAGCCGCGGUAAUACGUAGGUGGCAAGCGUUACUCGGAAUCACUAGGCGUAAAGCGCAGGUAGGCGGUUCGGUAAGUCUCUUGUGAAAGCUCCCGGCUUAACUGGGAGAGGCCAAGGGAAACUGCCGGGCUGGAGUGUGGCAGAGGAAGCUGGAAUUCCCGGUGUAGCGGUGAAAUGCGUAGAUAUCGGGAGGAACACCUAUGGCGAAAGCAGGCUUCUGGGCCAUCACUGACGCUGAGCUGCGAAAGCUAGGGGAGCAAACAGGAUUAGAUACCCUGGUAGUCCUAGCCCUAAACGAUGCUCAUUAGGUGUGAGAGGUAUCGACCCCUUUCGCGCCGAAGCUAACGCAUUUAAUGAGCCGCCUGGGGAGUACGGCCCGCAGGUUGAAACUC